rnacentral:lncRNA from 1 species
GCGCAGGCGUUUCAUAAGUCGUCUUUCUUUAUAUAUAUUUAUACUUUAUAUAAAUCUAAUUUCUAUGGGAUAAAACCGUCAUUAUCAUACAUCAUUCUUUUGCUGCUGUGUGGUGAGUCACCAACAGGAUCAAAGGUCGCUGAGAACUUCCCUAAGGAACGAACCUGCACUCUGCACUUAUCAGGGCGGCGGUUCGAGCUGGGCUGGAAGUGGCUGAGCAGAUAAACGCCCAGACGCCUGUGUGUGAGGCCGAGGCGGCUGCAGAGGGAUCGCUGUGUUUCCUGAUCCAGCAGAGACGUCUCAGACCCAACCCAGGUCCACUCCACAGCGGAUGUGCCUCUUCGCUGGGCCCUGGCAUUCUCCGGUUACUGAGUGCGCACGCAGACAGGACACAGUGAGGCUCACUCUGCUCAGGGCAGUGAUCAGAAUCACUCAGAGUCCAGAGACCGGGUCGGACCGGGUCAGAGCGGGGCCACGCGGCGUUUCCUCCAGCUCCUCACCGGCGCUGACGGCGCGUGAGAGCACAGCAGGAGGGCCUGAGGGCCGAGCGUUUCCUCACGCAGCCUCUGGACCCGGUGAG